ensembl:snoRNA
GAAUGUGCAAAGGGAUAAGCAAUACCUGCGGCAGCCUCAAAGAGGUGUGUGUGUGUGUGUGUGUGUGUGUGUGUAUGUUUGAGAGAGAGAGAGAGAGAGAGAGAGAGAGAGAGAGUAUCUUUGCCCGGGCAUGCACACACAUGUCUGGGAGUACAAAUGUGUGUGGCUGCUUAUAGAGAGCUGGUUCCAUGCUUUCUGUUGGGCCAUAACAGACGGAGUUGGAGUGCAUA